ACUGAACAGAAAAACUACAAGUGAAAGCUGUCACAUCCCCAAAUUUUAUGCUUUGAAGUAAAAUAUCAAAGCCAAUAAAAAUUUUUUGUGUGAAUCGGAAUAUUAUCCAAUGCAAGGAAUAAUUAAUUAUUCAAGAAUGCCAGAAAGUAAAUAAUAAAAAAUCAUAAACCUUACAACCAGUUAGAAGGUAUGAUACCGAACUCUACACUUUUUAACGAAAGUGCAAAAAGAAAUCUAGGAAUUUUACAUAGGAAUCAUGUCACUCACUUUCCAAGCAACUGGUAGAUGUCAGUUACUACUCAUGAACGCUUCUUGUUACCCUUCAAGACUGACUCCCUGCAAAGUCACUCCCUACACCAUAAAAUGGUGUACCGGGUUCACAAAAGAAAAGAAAACCCGGUAAGCUUAUGAAGCUUGUAUGAGCAAAACUACAAAAAAAGACUAUUAUACACUGACAUAUUACUUUAAGUAAAACAGGAGAAUAUCUUAUAAGAAUAUGAUGAACAAUUUCUAAUAUAACAAUACAUAAGACUUCUAAUGAUAACACACGGUAAAUCUCAUACAAAACAAUAUUUAGAGAUGAUGUACCACUCUAACACAUAUACUAACUCCAGACAAAUGACUAAUCUUGCAGCAUUAUACAAUUCGAUUUAUGAAGAUACAAAGACUCCUCAUCUAUAACACCCACAUGGAUCAACUCACCAAGUAAGGUACUGCACACAGAUCAACUCAUCAUGUUGAACCAGACCGCACAAAAUAAUACUAAAUUCACAAUGACAGACUAGUGCACUAACUGUUAUGAGGUUUUUCACCCCAGGGACUAUUCUUGUUCCCUGCUUGCUCACUAUGGGAUCAAACUCACCCAUACAUGAUAUUCAAGGUAUUCUAACCUUUAAUCAAUUGUAACUACAAUGAUACACUACCAUUUUGAUGACACAAGGUUAAUUAUGCAGGUGUCUACAUAACCAGAUAUAAACUAAAUCAAGAACAAUAAUGUACGCAGAUGAAUCAUUCUUUAUUUGCUUUAAAAACAAA
rnacentral:lncRNA from 1 species